rnacentral:rRNA from 1 species
CAUUUCAGCCAUAUCACCCUGCAGCUCAAGACUGGUUACUCACUGAAGCUAAGCAGGGCUGAGCCUGGUCAGUACCUGGAUGGAAGACCAGUAGGGAACACUAGGUUGCUGUUGGAA